CGCGGCCAGAUCCCUGCUGUACCCGGAAUAACAAGGAUGGGUUCCCGUUGUGCCCUCCUAAGUCCUCGUUAAAGGGCCUGUCACCCCGCGAGCCGCGUUCGGUACCCACACGAAUGUUACACGUUCCUGGGGAGGAACGAAGCCUCUGUGCGCUUGCUCAGGCAGGCGACUCUUGCUGGCUGUUUCGGAUAACUAUAUUUGAACGAAAAUUUAGAUGUGUGCAGUGCCCCUUUGGAGUUGGUAGUGCUGCAGAUUUCUUGAACCUGCUGUGGUACGGCGAUUCAGCGCGGACAUAGCAAGAAUCUCAACAUGUUUAAGAAGCUUCCUAUAUUUGUGAGAAUGUAGUGAAUGGAUCUGACUGGACU
ensembl:lncRNA